rnacentral:rRNA from 1 species
CACGUAGGGCGCAAGCGUUGUCCGGAAUUAUUGGGCGUAAAGAGCUCGUAGGCGGUCUGUUGCGUCCGCUGUGAAACUCGGGGCUUAACCCCGAGCCUGCAGUGGAUACGGGCAGACUAGAGGUAGGUAGGGGAGAAUGGAAUUCCCGGUGUAGCGGUGAAUGCGCAGAUAUCGGGAGGAACACCGGUGGCGAAGGCGGUUCUCUGGGCCUUACCUGACGCUGAGGAGCGAAAGCGUGGGGAGCGAACAGG